AGAGUUUGAUCAUGGCUCAGAUUGAACGCUGGCGGCAUGCCUUACACAUGCAAGUCGAACGGCAGCACGGGAGCAAUCCUGGUGGCGAGUGGCGAACGGGUGAGUAAAGUAUCGGAACGUGCCCAGUCGUGGGGGAUAACGUAGCGAAAGCUACGCUAAUACCGCAUACGAUCUAUGGAUGAAAGCGGGGGAUCGCAAGACCUCGCGCGAUUGGAGCGGCCGAUAUCAGAUUAGGUAGUUGGUGGGGUAAAGGCCUACCAAGCCGACGAUCUGUAGCUGGUCUGAGAGGACGACCAGCCACACUGGGACUGAGACACGGCCCAGACUCCUACGGGAGGCAGCAGUGGGGAAUUUUGGACAAUGGGCGCAAGCCUGAUCCAGCAAUGCCGCGUGCAGGAUGAAGGCCUUCGGGUUGUAAACUGCUUUUGUACGGAGCGAAAAGGCUUCCACUAAUACUGGAGGCUCAUGACGGUACCGUAAGAAUAAGCACCGGCUAACUACGUGCCAGCAGCCGCGGUAAUACGUAGGGUGCAAGCGUUAAACGGAAUUACUGGGCGUAAAGCGUGCGCAGGCGGUCUUGUAAGACAGGUGUGAAAUCCCCGGGCUUAACCUGGGAACUGCACUUGUGACUGCAAGGCUGGAGUACGGCAGAGGGGGAUG
rnacentral:rRNA from 1 species